rnacentral:rRNA from 1 species
UACGUAGGCAGCGAGCGUUGUUCGGAGUUACUGGGCGUAAAGAGUGCGUAGGCGGUUUUCUAAGUUUGGUGUGAAAUCUCCCGGCUUAACUGGGAGGGUGCGCCGAAAACUGGAAGGCUUGAGUAUGGGAGAGGUAAGCGGAAUUCCUGGUGUAGCGGUGAAAUGCGUAGAUAUUAGGAAGAACACCAGUGGCGAAGGCGGCUCACUGGCCCGGUACUGACGCUGAGGAGCGAAAGCAUGGGGAGCGAACAGG